UUCUUCAGGGCGGGGUGAGAUUCCCCACCGGCGGUAAGGAAAGCGUUGCUUUCUAAGCCCGCGAGCCGUAAGGCAGGAACCGGUGAGAUUCCGGUGCCGACAGUAUAGUCUGGAUGGAAGAAGA
rnacentral:ncRNA from 1 species